rnacentral:rRNA from 1 species
CCGGCGAGCGGCGGACGGCUGAGUAACGCGUGGGAACGUGCCCCAAAGUGAGGAAUAACUGCCCGAAAGGGUAGCUAAUGCCGCAUAUGAUCUUCGGAUUAAAGUAUUUAUUACGCUUUGGGAGCGGCCCGCGUCCGAUUAGGUAGUUGGUGAGGUAAAGGCUCACCAAGCCCACGAUCGGUAGCUGGUCUGAGAGGGUGACCAGCCAGACUGGAACUGAGACACGGUCCAG